rnacentral:rRNA from 1 species
GGCUCAGUAACAAGUAGUCAAUCUGCCCUAAGGACGGGAGCAACCUCGGGAAACUGAGGUCAAUUCCCGAUGCCCCAUCUAUGCUGGAAUGCUUGAUGGGGAAAAUGCGCGGUAAAUUGUAGCCGUUGCGCCUUAGGAUGAGACUGCUCCUGAUUAGGUAGUUGGUGAGGUAACGGCUCACCAAGCCGAUAAUCAGUAGGGGCAAUGGGAGUUGGCGCCCCGAGAAGGGCACUGAGACAAGGGCCCUAGUCCUACGGGAUGCAGCAGGCGCGAAACCUUUACAAUGCGCGAAAGCGUGAUAAGGGAACUCUGAGUGGCAGCCGGCUUUUAGCCGACUGUCUUUUGGCGGACCUAAACCGUUCGCAGAAUAAGUUCUGGGUAAGACCAGUGCCAGCCGCCA